UACGUAGGGACCGAGCGUUGUCCGGAUUCAUUGGGCGUAAAGAGCUCGUAGGCGGUCUGUCGCGUCUGCUGUGAAACCUCAGGGCUUAACCCUGAGCUUGCAGUGGGUACGGGCAGACUAGAGUGCGGUAGGGGAGACUGGAAUUCCUGGUGUAGCGGUGAAAUGCGCAGAUAUCAGGAGGAACACCGGUGGCGAAGGCGGCUCACUGGGGAUUUUCUGACGCUGAGGAACGAAAGCCAGGGGAGCGAACGGG
rnacentral:rRNA from 1 species